CUUUCAUUCCGUGCUGACGUAUCCGGGCGUGUUGAGUGUGCGCAGCGAGCGCUUUUUGUAUGAGACACAACGGCAAGUGAAGUGAAAAAAUUUACCAACAAUAAAAUCAAAUAAAUGUACGAGUAAAUAAUUGUUGUGAAAAAUACAGGCACUUGUGUUUAAAUAAUCGAAAAAACGGCAGACAACAAUAACAACAGCAACAACAAGUGUGGAUUAUCAAAUAGCAGCGAAUAAAUUAAUUACGCGCGCGAUCACACACGAUCGUUUAAAGUGAGCUGGUGAAUGGCUGAAAAUGUGAAGCCGAGCGCCAAAAGUCAAACUGCACCAACAACAACAACAGCGAUUAUUGCUCACAUAAUCGCCGACAGCGACUAAAGUUUUAGUUGGUCAAGCAGCCAGAAACAGGAGACACAU